GUGGGGGAUAUUGCACAAUGGGGGAAACCCUGAUGCAGCGACGCCGCGUGGAGGAAGAAGGUUUUCGGAUUGUAAACUCCUGUCGUAAGGGACGAUAAUGACGGUACCUUACAAGAAAGCCACGGCUAACUACGUGCCAGCAGCCGCGGUAAAACGUAGGUGGCAAGCGUUGUCCGGAAUUACUGGGUGUAAAGGGAGCGCAGGCGGACCGGCAAGUUGGAAGUGAAAACUAUGGGCUCAACCCAUAAACUGCUUUCAAAACUGCUGGCCUUGAGUAGUGCAGAGGUAGGCGGAAUUCCCGGUGUAGCGGUGGAAUGCGUAGAUAUCGGGAGGAACACCAGUGGCGAAGGCGGCCUACUGGGCACCAACUGACGCUGAGGCUCGAAAGUGUGGGUAGCAAACAGGAUUAGAAACCCUAGUAGUCCC
rnacentral:rRNA from 1 species